rnacentral:tRNA from 1 species
GCGGCCGUAGUCUAGCAGGUAGGACGCCGGCCUGCCACGCCGGAGAUCCCGGGUUCGAAUCCCGGCGGCCGCACCA